AUGGCCACUCUCCGUCAAGCAGCCGUGGGAAGGGCAAGUGUACUGAAGCAGCAGAAUCAAUCACCAGACUCAUUAACCCGGCAGCCUCCCACCCCUCCCACGAGCUCCCCAGCCUUUCAGCCGGCCACUGCCCUCCCCCCUCUGCGGAGCAGGCUCACGCAGACCACCUUCGAGGGGCCGUGCACCUGCUCACUGCACUACACUUCCCCGGGCGCUGGCGGCGGGCAGCUGCAACUUACAAGGGAACAUCUCCGAAAGAACACCUUCGCUUGCCCCAGCGCACACACGCGCACGCACACACACGCUGGUGCGCAUCCACCCACAUGCACACGUGCGCAUGCACCCACACACGCCGGUGCACAGCCACCCACACGCACGGGCGCGCGCACACACAUAUGCUGGUGCACACCCACACACUCACACGCAUGUGCAUACACACGCUGGUGCACACCCACCCUCACACACGCCGGUGCACACCCACCCACACGCCGGUGCACAUCCAUGCACACGCACGCACGCAUGUGCGCACACACAUGCUGGUGCACACCCACACGCACGUGCACACGCGCACACACACGCCGGUGCACACACACACACACGCCGGUGCACACCCACACACAUGCACGUGUGUACACACCCACGCGCGUGCGUGCACACACACGCGGGUGCGCAUACACACAUGCGGGUGCGCAUCCACCCACAUGCACACGUGCGCACGCGUACACACACACACGCCGGUGCACACCCACCCACACGCAGGGGCGCGCGCACCCACACACGCCGGUGCACACCCACCCACACGCACGUGCGCGCGCGCACACACACACGCUGGUGUACACACGCACAGACACGCGUGCGCGCACACACCCACCCACACGCACGCACGUGCACACACACGCUGGUGCACGCCCACCCCCACACCGCCGGUGCACACCCACCCACACGCACGCGCGCACACAGGCGCGAACGCCACGAGCCCCCCCUCGGGGCGCGGGGUUGUGGACAGACGCCCCUUUGCUCGCGGGGCGCCCACGGCCCUUGGUCUCUGCGCCCCCCGCCCCCCAGGAGCCCUUCUCGCGGUGCGGAGACGCCCGGCUGCCCGCGCCCCGAGACCCCGCGGCCGCCGCCUUUCCCGCAGCCUCCUCUCCGGGCGCCGUUGGCCAGCCCCGUACUGUACUUCAUUAG
rnacentral:lncRNA from 12 species